rnacentral:lncRNA from 1 species
UAAAGCUAAAAAAAAUUGAAUGUAAGUUCAAGUUGAUUUAUUUUUAAUUAAUUCCACACUGAUGGUGAAUAAGUCAGAUUUCUUCCUUGGGAGUUAGGGCAAUACCCAGAACAACAUUAAAAGCUAAAAAAGAAAGAAAAGUAAAAUAAAAUAAAAGAGUUUUGUCUAUAUAGUGUAAAAUGUCAAUGUUACUUCCACUGUAAGAAAAAAAUAUUCUUAGUAAAUGGUAUACAGUUCUUACAUACAGUCCAUUAUAAAGCUCUGACUUUAUCUGAGACUCUAGUCAGGAUCAACUUUCAGGUUAAUCUGUAUAAAAUAAAAUAGAUAAGGUAUUUUGAAGCAACUAAGCAUUUUGCCCAUCAAGUGUCUGAUGUUUACAAAACAUUACUUUUAAAAAAUAGCAAAUACUUAUUUAUACACUGCUGAUUUUCAGGGUCAGCUUUAUGGCCAUUCCACCACUGAAGUCUCAAGAGCCCUACAGUGUGAAGGAGGAGCUCCACUGAGGUUUAGCAUUCCGUACUUGCCAUCCUGAAAUGCUUAAUAAUUUUAUCUUUGAAUUUUUUUAAAAAAAUAUAGUCCAAAGGGACAAAAGAUCACAUGCUGGAGUCUGGCAGUCAGUUAAUGUGCAGUUCACUCUCCAAUACUUCUUGUGUCUCCAGGAUUUGUUUCCAGCCAUUCCAUCUUCCACUCCCUUAGGCUUUGGUACCCUGAUGAUCUCUCUCUCCUGAUCUUGUCCACUGACCAAUGUCACCCUCUCUCCUCAGCAGAGGCCUAGGUGUGGAUACAGGGGAAUUUAAUAUGUAAUUCCUAAAACUAUGAAUAUAGUAAGAUAGCAUGCCUAUAACUAUGUCAUAUGGAAAAUGGGAUUUUAGAGAUAAUUAAGUGUACUAAUCAAUUCACCUUAAGUAUUCAAGAAGGAGAUUAUCCAAAUGUGCCCAACCUAAGGGGUGGGGCUUUAAAAAGCAGUGAGUUUUGUUUGGUGGGCAGAAGUCAGAGACAUCCAAAGAAUGAGGACAUGGUGUGCCAUCUCUGCACUGAAGAUGGUGUAGACAAUUAAGAAGGAAUGUAGGUAGCCUCUGGGAUCUGAAAGCAGCUCUUUCAUAACAGACCUCAGACCACAGGAAAUAGAUUCUGAAAGCAGUCAGAAUAACCGUGGAAAAGGAUUUCCCCAGAUCCUCUCUAUAAGAAUCUAGCUCGACCAACACUUGGAUUUUAAACUUAGAGCCCAAUGGGUGUAGUUUCAAACAGCUAAAUUUGUGAUAAUUUGUUACUUAGCAAUACAAAACUAAUACAAAACACUUCUACUUUUCCUAAGGUGUCCUUUGAUGAUAUUACUUUUCAAAAGAGGAAGACAGUUAUUCUAUAAAAUUAAUAGUUGGCUACAGUGGAAUCUUAAAAGACACAUUUUCUGUGUUUAGAUGAACCUACAAACACUAUUCCUGUAUGGAAUAAUUUAUGACAAGGCUAAAUAGUUUUAUGAAUGAUAACAUUUAUAGUCAUCUUAAAUAAAGAUAAUAAAAUAUGCAUUAAAACAUCAGAACCCUUUAGUGUUCUAAAAUAAAUUCGUAGUCUCAUUCAUGUCAAGCUCAUGUAUUUGGUACAGGAUAUUACAAGACUUAAGAGAAAGAUUAUAAAAAUGUAACAGUCUUCCUCUCUGAGGGUCAUAUUUACUUUGAGAAAGGAACAGAGAGAAAGAAACUUGGUGAUGAGUGUAGGUCAAGCUACUUUGAUCUCUGUUUUGUUUUUGUUUUUUUUUAAACUAGUCUUUGGGUCUCUUUGAAAACAAUCAUUUUACUAUGAAGUCCUAGGAGGCCCUUUCGCUUUUGGUUUCUGUGAAAAAGUGUUGGAGAAUAAAUGGGACAAGGAAGAAGGAAGGAUUUGUGCUGGAAUAAAAGAAGCUCACUUGAAAUUAAUGUGUAGCCAGGAUCCAAGUGGGCCAUUUGGAGUUGAUGCAGGUCACACAUUGGUGUUUGUCUUGUGUUCUUCACAACUCAGUUUCCCUGCUUUCUGUACAUCAACCUUUUCUUCCUGUACCUCUUCAAUGUGAGACCCUCCAAAGGCUGAUUUGAAAUCCUCAAGGAGACCAUUCCAUUUAUUCCCUAGAAGCCAGCAGGAUAUUGCAAUAGCAUAUAUUCUUCUCUGAGGUACAUUGUAACCAUAACAUUAUUAAAAUUAAACCUAAAUUUACUUUGCUGAAGCAUCUGAGUUGUCCAGAAAAAAAUUAAAUCAAUGAUAAACUCUGAAUAAAAGAAAUUUAAGUCAAGACCCAUAUUAUUAUUUUAUACUUAAUCCCCAAUAGAAGGACAUUGAUUUCACCUUUUUUUUUAAUUUGAUGUCACUCAGCCAGGAGACUCUUAAACACAGCUUGCUACCAACAAUUAUUUAUGCUCCUUUUCUGAGCAGCACC